rnacentral:rRNA from 1 species
CGUAGUGACCUGCGGAGGGAUCAUUACACAAAUAUGAAGGCGGGCUGGAACCUCUCGGGGUUACAGCCUUGCUGAAUUAUUCACCCUUGUCUUUUGCGUACUUCUUGUUUCCUUGGUGGGUUCGCCCACCACUAGGACAAACAUAAACCUUUUGUAAUUGCAAUCAGCGUCAGUAACAAAUUAAUAAUUACAACUUUCAACAACGGAUCUCUUGGUUCUGGCAUCGAUGAAGAACGCAGCGAAAUGCGAUAAGUAGUGUGAAUUGCAGAAUUCAGUGAAUCAUCGAAUCUUUGAACGCACAUUGCGCCCUUUGGUAUUCCAAAGGGCAUGCCUGUUCGAGCGUCAUUUGUACCCUCAAGCUUUGCUUGGUGUUGGGCGUCUUGUCUCUAGCUUUGCUGGAGACUCGCCUUAAAGUAAUUGGCAGCCGGCCUACUGGUUUCGGAGCGCAGCACAAGUCGCACUCUCUAUCAGCAAAGGUCUAGCAUCCACUAAGCCUUUUUUUCAACUUUUGACCUCGGAUCAGGUAGGGAUACCCGCUGAACUUAAGCAU